AACUGAAGGAAAUAGAACCGCGUGAACUUAAGGAAAUUGAAACAACCCCCCUUCUUUCUUUCCCCAAUUCAUAACCCUAGCCCCCAUUGUCGCCGCCGUCCGAAGCUUGUUGGCGCCGCCGCCGUUCCAAGCUCUAAGGACAUCGUCUUUAUCUUCCUUGGCUUCUCCGUUCGUCGAAGGUUAGUGGCGUGGCGUCCGCUCUUGGGGUACUGCGCUCGUUAAGAUCUCUCCUUACACCUUCUCCGUCGUCGCCAUCGGCGUCUCCAUCGGUGUCUCAGUUCUCAUUGCUGCUUGAGGGAUUUACGUGCUGCAAUCAAGGCUCCCCGAAUCACUUCCACGAAUCUCAUUAGGUCUUAUUUUUCUAUCCUCCAUAAAAAAGUGGCCUUAAAUGCCUGGAUCUUCUCUCUUUUUGCUUCCCUGGAAUAUUGGAGGUUAGAUGAACAUCUUCAAAAUUUGAAGCAAGCUGGAUACAGUGAUGAUGAAGCGCUUCAAACGGUGUUUGGAAAGGAGAGACAUGGUAGGGUUCGUUUCUAUGGUCGAUCAGUCACAAAAUCCUCUCUUAAAAAGGAUAAGCAAAUCCGACAAAUGCAACAACAACAUGCUGAAGUGGUUUCAACUAUGGAAAGAAAUCAAAAUAACUUGACUUCCAAGUUGGAUGGUUUAUCAAGCUUGAUCAAAACGGUGUUGCAACAAGUUAAUCCUGGUAUGAGUGCGGAACAAGUGCAAGUAAUGAUAGAAGCUGCCCAACAAUCUCCGCCUGAUGCAAGUAGUGCACCAAAUGAUGCGAGGCGAAGCAUUCCUCCUUCACUGGGAUCGAACCAUGUGUCAAAAGAUAUGGAAGAGGAUAUGAUGUGAAGAAAAUAUGUUCAAUACAAAUAUAAGAUGGGAUGGGUCUUAUAAUGAUUUUGGUUAUCUAAAUGUAUUAUUUUGAUGUCUUCUUUACAUUUUGAUAAGAGAUUUUAUUCGAUAAUACAUGUAAUGGAUAAAUUACACUCUAUUUUGAUUAGUGUUGUAAUGGAUAUCUAUUUUUUAAUGAAACUUUUAUGAUUUACAUUUAUUGAAUUUCUCAUUCUUA